rnacentral:rRNA from 1 species
CUUGGUCAUUUAGAGGAAGUAAAAGUCGUAACAAGGUUUUCCUUCCAGUUAAAGCUAUUAACUUAUUGAAGCCUGACGUGGGCGACUAUAAAUAUAACCAUGAAGUUCGGUCUUUAACAGACUGGACAACACCGCUGAAAUGCUGUGAUCAACUAUUGUUGUACCAGCAGCCCUCUUAUAGGGCCCACAGAUCAAGCCGCGGUGAUCCUACCUAGAGUAUUUAAGUAGGACUAUAAUAUGACCGGUCUCACCUGAGAUGGUUGAGAGAACACGUUCCGUAGGUGAACCUGCGGAAGGAUCAUUACCGAGUUAGGGUCUUAUAGGCCCGACCUCCAACCCUUUGUUUACUACACCAUGUUGCUUUGGCGGGCCCGCCUUUUGGGGCCGCCGGGGGUUUACAAGCCCCUGGUCAGUGUCCGCCAGUAGCCUUAUUAAAUUCUUUUAUAAUUAUGUUGUCUGAGUAUAAAUAUAAAUCGUUAAAACUUUCAACAACGGAUCUCUUGGUUCUGGCAUCGAUGAAGAACGCAGCGAAAUGCGAUAAGUAAUGCGAAUUGCAGAAUUCAGUGAGUCAUCGAAUCUUUGAACGCAUAUUGCGCCCUUUGGCAUUCCGAAGGGCAUGCCUGUUCGAGCGUCAUUAUCAACCAUCAAGCCUGGCUUGUCGUUGGACCUCUUUACCGCUGAAAUAUGUGGUAGGUCCGAAAGAUAAUGACGGCGUCGUGUUUGACCCUAGAUGCAACGAGCUUUUUAUAGCACGCAUUGAAGUGGUCGGCCGACCCGGUCUUUAACCAUUAUUUUCUAAGGUUGACCUCGGAUCAGGUAGGAAUACCCGCUGAACUUAAGCAUAUCAAUAAGCGGAGGA